rnacentral:rRNA from 1 species
UACGAGGGGGGCAAGCGUUGUUCGGAAUUAUUGGGCGUAAAGGGUGCGUAGGCGGUCUGACAAGUCUGUUGUGAAAUCUAUGGGCUCAACCCAUAGUCUGCAUCGGAAACUGGCGGGCUUGAGUAUGGGAGAGGUGAGUGGAAUUUCCGGUGUAGCGGUGAAAUGCGUAGAUAUUGGGAAGAACACCGGUGGCGAAGGCGGCAACCUGGUCCUUGACUGACGCUGAGGCGCGAAAGCGUGGGGAGCAAACAGG